UGUCGAAGGAACUCUAAAUGCUCUAUACUGUUUCAGAAUUCGCUGAUGGUAAUGGCAGAGCCCGAACCAAAGCCUGCAGGAGGUGUACAUGCUGCAAAAUAAAAGGAGGCAGAAAGCAGGUGCCCAUGCUUCGGGUAAUACAAAGACAACAAGUCUUAAUGUAAUGUUUCAUUGACUCAAAUAAAGAGAAAUGUAAGAAAGAAAA